GUGCCAGCAGCCGCGGUAAUACAGAGGGUGCGAGCGUUAAUCGGAAUUACUGGGCGUAAAGCGAGUGUAGGUGGCUCAUUAAGUCACAUGUGAAAUCCCCGGGCUUAACCUGGGAACUGCAUGUGAUACUGGUGGUGCUAGAAUAUGUGAGAGGGAAGUAGAAUUCCAGGUGUAGCGGUGAAAUGCGUAGAGAUCUGGAGGAAUACCGAUGGCGAAGGCAGCUUCCUGGCAUAAUAUUGACACUGAGAUUCGAAAGCGUGGGUAGCAAACAGGAUUAGAUACCCCUGUAGUCC
rnacentral:rRNA from 1 species